rnacentral:rRNA from 1 species
UUAAAGAGUUCUAUAACUCCCAAACCCAUGUGAACAUACCUAACGUUGCCUCGGCAGGUCGCACCUACCUUGUAGCACCCUACCCUGUAGGGCCUACCCGGGAGGUGCGGGUAAGCCUGCCGGCGGCCCACCAAACUCUGUUUGAUAUUGAAUUCUGAACCUAUAACUAAAUAAGUUAAAACUUUCAACAACGGAUCUCUUGGUUCUGGCAUCGAUGAAGAACGCAGCGAAAUGCGAUAAGUAAUGUGAAUUGCAGAAUUCAGUGAAUCAUCGAAUCUUUGAACGCAUAUUGCGCCCAUUAGUAUUCUAGUGGGCAGGACCGUUCGAGCGUCAUUUCAACCCUUAAGCCUUCGUUGCUUAGUGUUGGGAGCCUACGGCAACGUAGCUCCUCAAAGUUAGUGGCGGAGUUGGUUCACACUCUAGACGUAGUAAUUUUUUAUCUCGCCUAUUAGUUGGACUAAUCCCCUGCCGUAAAACCCCCAAUCUAUAUCAAGGUUGACCUCGAAUCGGUUCAGACAAACUCGCUAAAUUGAAGCAUCUUAGUCAGCGAAGGAAAAGAAACCAACAGGGAUUGCCCUAGUAACGGCGAGUGAAGCGGCAACAGCUCAAAUUUGAAAUCUGGCCCUCGGGUCCGAGUUG